rnacentral:lncRNA from 1 species
CUGAAGUGCAGUGGCGUGAUCUCGGCUCGCUACAACCUCCACCUCCCAGCCGCCUGCCUUGGCCUCCCAAAGUGCCGAGAUUGCAGCCUCUGCCCGGCCACCACCCCGUCUGGGAAGCGAGGAGCCCCUCUGCCCAGCCGCCCAGUCUGGGAAGUGAGGAGCGCCUCUUCCCGGCCACCAUCCCAUCUAGGAAGUGAGGAGCGUCUCUGCCCGGCUGCCCAUCGUCUGAGAUGUGGGGAGCGCCUCUGCCCCGCCGCCCAUCAUCUGAGAUGUGGGGAGCGCCUCUGCCCCGCCACCCCGUCUGGGAUGUGAGGAGUGCCUCUGCCCGGCCGCGACCCUGUCUGGGAACUGAGGAGUGUCUCUGCCCAACCGCCACCCAGUCUGGGAGGCUCUUCUGUUUCAUGACUCAGCACAACACUGCUACUAAUCCUGUCUUUAUUUAAAAUUUUAAUAUUUUGGCUGGGAGCUGUGGCUCACGCCUGUAAUCCCAGCACUUUGGGAGGCCGAGGCGGGCAGAUCACUCACAAGUUCGAGACCAGCCUGGCCAACAUGGUGAAACCCUGUCUCUGCUAAAAAUACAAAAUUAUCCAGGCAUAGUGGCGCACACCUGUAAUCCCAGCUACUCAGGAGGCUGAGGCAGGAGAAUCACUUGAACCAGGGGCUGGAGGUUGCAGUGAGCUGAGAUCGCACCAUUGAACUCCAGCCUGGGCAACAAGAGCAAAACUCUAUCUCAAAAAUAAAUAAAUAAAUAAAUAAAUAAAUGAAAUUUUAAUAUUUUGUUCAUUAUAGAUAUUUUCAUAUUAAUUGUGCUUCUUAAAA